ACACGUUCCAGUGUGCUACAGCCCGGGGGUCACCAGGUCGCCUAAGGAGGGGUGAACCGGCCCAGGUCGGAGACGGAGCAGGUCAAAGCUCCCGUGCCGCUC